UACGUAGGGGGCAAGCGUUGUCCGGAAUUAUUGGGCGUAAAGAGCGUGUAGGCGGUCCGGUAAGUCAGCUGUGAAAGUCAAGGGCUCAACCCUUGAAAGCCGGUUGAUACUGUCGGGCUAGAGUCCGGAAGAGGCGAGUGGAAUUCCCGGUGUAGCGGUGAAAUGCGCAGAUAUCGGGAGGAACACCAAUGGCGAAGGCAGGCUCGCUGGGACGGUA
rnacentral:rRNA from 1 species